ACACACGCGCACACACACACACACGCGCACACACACACACACACACACACACACACACACACACACACACACACACGCGCACACACACACACACACACACACACACACACACACACACACACACACACGCGCACACACACACACACACACGGUCAUCAGUAGGUGAAAGAAAGUUUACAGAUGUUCCCUAAACGCCUCACAGUUUACAGAGGUUCCCUAAACGCCUCACAGUUUACAGAGGUUCCCUAAACGCCUCACAGUUUACAGAGGUUCCCUAAACGCCUCACAGUUUACAGAGGUUCCCUAAACGCCUCACAGUUUACAGAGGUUCCCUAAACGCCUCACAGUUUACAGAGGUUCCCUAAACGCCUCACAGUUUACAGAGGUUCCCUAAACGCCUCACAGUUUACAGAGGUUCCCUAAACGCCUCACAGUUUACAGAGGUUCCCUAAACGCCUCACAGUUUACAGAUGUUCCCUAAACGCCUCACAGUUUACAGAGGUUCCCUAAACGCCUCACAGUUUACAGAGGUUCCCUAAACGCCUCACAGUUUACAGAGGUUCCCUAAACGCCUCACAGUUUACAGAG